AUUGAACGCUAGCGGGAUGCUUUACACAUGCAAGUCGAACGAGUGGCGGACGGGUGAGUAAUAUAUCGGAACGUGCCCAGUAGCGGGGGAUAACUACUCGAAAGAGUGGCUAAUAACGCAUACUAUUGGAGCGGCCGAUAUCGGAUUGGCUAGUUGGUGGGGUAAAGGCUAACCAAGGCAACGAUCCGUAGCUGGUUGGAGCGGACGACCAUCAACACGGGGACUGAGACACGGCCCAGACUCCUACGGGAGGAAGCAGUGGGGAAUGUUGGACAAUGGGGGAAACCCUGAGCCAGCCAUCCCGCGUGUAUGAGAAGGCCUUCGGGUUGUAAAGUACUUUUGGCAGAGAAGCGGUAUCUGCAGAAUAAGCACCGGCUAACUCCGUGCCAGCAGCCGCGGUAAUAC
rnacentral:rRNA from 1 species